rnacentral:rRNA from 1 species
UGGGGAAUAUUGCACAAUGGGCGCAAGCCUGAUGCAGCCAUGCCGCGUGUAUGAAGAAGGCCUUCGGGUUGUAAAGUACUUUCAGCGGGGAGGAAGGUGUUGUGGUUAAUAACCACAGCAAUUGACGUUACCCGCAGAAGAAGCACCGGCUAACUCCGUGCCAGCAGCCGCGGUAAUACGGAGGGUGCAAGCGUUAAUCGGAAUUACUGGGCGUAAAGCGCACGCAGGCGGUCUGUCCAGUCGGAUGUGAAAUCCCCGGGCUCAACCUGGGAACUGCAUCCGAAACUGGCAGGCUUGAGUCUUGUAGAGGGGGGUAGAAUUCCAGGUGUAGCGGUGAAAUGCGUAGAGAUCUGGAGGAAUACCGGUGGCGAAGGCGGCCCCCUGGACAAAGACUGACGCUCAGGUGCGAAAGCGUGGGGAGCAAACA